rnacentral:rRNA from 1 species
AUAAUUCGGCUCCAAGAAUUUGGCAAGUAACUUGUAUAACUUUGGGAUAACAAUGGUGUUUAUCGGGCGACUGUAUAGCAAAUACACAGGGUUUAGUUAAAGAUGUUUAUAUUUUAGAGCUGAUAUGUGACCAGUAUUUAUAGGCUCAUAGUUGUUUUGCGAUGCCUCUACAAACGUUGGCCGUAACUAUAACGGUCCCAAGGUAGCAAAUUUCCUUGUCGUUUAAGUAACGACCUGCAUGAAGGAUGGAACGAUUCGAUAGCUGUCUUGCGUACAUGUGCUGGUGAAAUAUUAGGUAGUGUGAAGAUACGGUAACAAUGUUAUGGGACAAAAAGACCCUGUGAAGCUUUAUAGGGAUAGAAUUUAGUACGGGUUCUAUAUUGGUAUAUCUUCAUUUCAAGGAAAAACAGUGAGAUACCAUUCAUUGAGAAUACGAUAAGAUAAUUCCAAUUCAUUGUGUUAUAUAGCGUAUAUAUUCGAUGAGAUUUCAUUUGGCCAAUGAUUUUCUCAUCGAAUAUAUUAGUGUGUUUACAGUGAGUUUACACUGUAAACACAGUGCUAUACCUAUUAUUUUAGGUACCUAUUAUUUUAGGUACCUGGUGAAAAUAGUGUUUGUGUGGGUUAUAUAGGGGUAAAUUAUUUUAUUUCACGUGUUAUUUAGGGCAUUUAUUUUUAGGUACCUAUAAUUAUUAUUAUUUUUCAUCUAAGCUACAGUGGAAUUCCCACUGUAGCUAGAAUAUUUAUUUGCGUGUAUAUAUGCGUGUAUAUAUGGAAUCCUUUAGAGGUGCCUAAUUAUUUUAGGUGCCUAAUUUAUUUACCUUGUUAUAUAGAGUGUUUUCGAAAAGUAAUGUUAGAUGGGCUGUUUCAUUGGGGAGAUGACCUUCUUUAAUCUAACUAAAGGUUCACAAAGCUAUUGAUGUGGGCUUUGAUAAAGGACUAGUAAGUGCAAAGAUAGAUGUGUGGCUUAAUGGUCAAGCGUUUGAUCCAGUAUUUAAAUGGUGUCUUAGUGACCUUUAAAUUAAUUUAUCAGAUAAAAGCUACUCUAGGGAUAACAGGCUUAAUUUAUUGGAUAGCUCACAUUAACAAAAUGGUUUUGCACCUCGAUGUCGGCUUAUCUUUUCCAAAUGGAAAGCAAUCAAUCAGGAGUGGGAGUGCUCAUCCCAUAACAAGGUACGUGAGCUGGGUUCAGAACGAUGUAAAUCAGUUUGGUCUAUAUCUGUA